GAGUGAAGAUUUAUUUUAAUCUAUUUGUAUAAUAUAUGCUAUUUUAUUGUAUAGUGUUCUUUUUGCACAGUGUCCUUUUAUGCAUGUUUUAACACAGUGAGCACAUUUAACCUUACACACCAAGUAUUGCUAUAACAUCUUUAUCACCCUUGUCUGUCUCUAUAGUUUUCUUGUGGACUGGUGAGUAGUGUUCAACUCACCAUGUGCAUGUUCUCUCUUAUCUGAACAUUCAUUGGUCACCUGACUAUUUUGACAUUCUUACUUUAGAUUUUGUUGGAGAAAGAUCACCUUCUGAUUUUCUCCAGGUAUCUACUAGUUAGUUAGUUUUGGCGGGAUUUUGGUAUUUCAUCAAUAUUCCAAUUUCUAUAAUUAGCUUUAGUUUGAUAUAGUAUAGUGUUUAAUAAGGUUACAGAUGAAUUAAAUAGGAAUUACAGAUUCAACAGCAGGUUUAUUGGAAGUGCUUGCCACCAUCUUUUGGCUUCCAAGUGGUUGGAAAACCCCUUUAUAGGGGUUUUUAUUGUGGUUAUUAUUAAUAAACCGAUUUAUGCGAGAACCUGAACCCUUGUGUCUUUUUCUUAAUCCGGAAAUUGCACCCUACAACAUUUGGAGCCCGAUAAGGGACUGGAUUGGAUUAUCGACAUCAACAUCAUCACCACCUGGAAAUUGG